AUUGAACGCUGGCGGCAUGCCUUACACAUGCAAGUCGAACGGCAGCACGGGAGCAAUCCUGGUGGCGAGUGGCGAACGGGUGAGUAAUAUAUCGGAACGUGCCCAGUAGUGGGGGAUAGCCCGGCGAAAGCCGGAUUAAUACCGCAUGAGACCUGAGGGUGGAAGCGGGGGAUCGCAAGACCUCGCGCUACUGGAGCGGCCGAUAUCAGAUUAGCUAGUUGGGGGGGUAAAGGCCUACCAAGGCAACGAUCUGUAGUUGGUCUGAGAGUACGAGCAGCCACACUGGGACUGAGACACGGCCCAGACUCCAACGGGAGGAAGCAGUGGGGAAUUUUGGACAAUGGGCGCAAGCCUGAUCCAGCAAUGCCGCGUGCAGGAAGAAGGCCUUCGGGUUGUAAACUGCUUUUGUCAGGGAAGAAAUCCUCUGGGUUAAUACCUCGGGGGGAUGACGGUACCUGAAGAAUAAGCACCGGCUAACUACGUGCCAGCCGCCGCCGUAACAC
rnacentral:rRNA from 1 species